AAUUUUCCUUCCCGCACUGGACGCACUGGGCGUAGCAAAGAAAGCGCAGACUGCUCUGGCUGCAGGUCCUAUCCACCUUUUCCCUUGGGAACAUAGCAGGAAAGGAAAGAGAAAGAGAUUCGGUUUUUCAAAGCAUCGAAACUUAACUUCUCACUUUCCUUCCCGUACAAGUAGGUAUGAAACUUUCUACCUGGUUUGAGGGGAUAUUGGUUUUUGUAAAUGUGGAAGACUCAUCGGUACCAUUUCUCGAGAAAUGUCGCCAGGGACUUCAGCACCCCUGUAAACUCAGACUUUCUGCUUCUUCACCUAGAGUCCAGCUUCUUGGCCAUUCGGCCAGAGCUUUAGCUGGAGCUCCUACACAGUUCUGCUUGAUCGAUAGAAUGACUAGCCGUCCUCCCGUUCCCCCAGAGACAUAGCCAAGAUAAACAGGAGAGCCUUGCACUUCGGCUUCAGGAAUAGAACUUUUUAUUUGUAACAUCCAAAGUAGGUUUUCUUUGUAAAAGCGUUUGUAGUAACUAAUCUAAAACAGAAUAUUAUAUUAGUUUAAGCAGCAACUUCAAUCAUUCCAUCCGUUCAAGUCCCAGUACCGAUGCGUUUUCAGCAGGGCCACUCAUGGAGAGGCCUAUUCUCUCUUGGGUUCGUUCCUCGAAGUGGGCAGAGGGAAGAAAAUCAUGCGGUUCACAGUGCAGUGCCACAGGUGACAGAGAAAUGAUUUUCUGAAGAAACAGCUAACUGAAAUU
rnacentral:lncRNA from 1 species